UCCCUGGUGGCUCAGUGGUAAAGAAUCCACCUGCAAUGUGGGAGACCUGGGUUCGAUCCCUGGGUCGGGAA
rnacentral:tRNA from 1 species